GAACACGACCUUGGAGCUGCACAUUCAGCUGUGUCAUCCGCGAGCCGUUAACGCUCAGGUGGUUUCUCGAGAGCCCCAGGGACGAGCAUCAAUCACUCAAUCGGUAAAGUAAAGUCUGACUGAGUGAAACGGGGAGAAAGAUGGACGAUCGAUCGCGCGUACUGGGCCAACGAGGAGGUAAAAUAAUGCGGCACGUGCGUUACUUAGAG